AUACGGAGGGUGCAAGCGUUACUCGGAAUCACUGGGCGUAAAGCGCGCGCAGGCGGCUAUUUAAGUUGGAUGUGAAAGCCUACGGCUCAACCGUAGAACUGCAUCCAAAACUAUUUAGCUAGAGGGUGGGAGAGGAAGAUGGAAUUAGUUGUGUAGGGGUAAAAUCCGUAGAGAUAACUAGGAAUACCAAAAGCGAAGGCAAUCUUCUGGAACACUACUGACGCUGAGGCGCGAAAGCGUGGGGAGCAAACGGGAUUAGAUACCCUAGUAGUCC
rnacentral:rRNA from 1 species